rnacentral:lncRNA from 1 species
UUUCUCCUCCUCCCAACCUCCUUUUGUUUUUCAGCCAUAUCUUGGUCAUCCGAGCUCAGUUUUGGGCAAAUGAGGUACCGUUGGAAAGUUCUCUUGAUUUUGUACAAGUCUGUGGUGGUUUGGUAGCAAAAUUCGAGUAGUUGGAGGUGUAGCAAGGCCGAGAAGCAGUGGUGGCGCCGUUUUGGGUUCUUCGUCGGAACUCCUAAUUCCGGCCACCUUCGGCGACAACUCUUGGGCCUUUUUAAGCUUGUGAGAUAUAUAUGGACCAAUCCCUCCAAGCUUCUUGAACCGACUUGAAGUGUGGAGGGUGAAUUGAGGAUUUGAAAUUCUAGGGUUUCAAUCACCCAUUUCACUUAUGAGGCUUGUCGGUGGCACGUGGAAGCAAGUUGAGAUUUUAAUGGUUCUCUGUUAGGUGCUUGAUUUAAUGUGUGUGAUGCAUUAUCGUGUGUGGCGAGAAGACGCAACAAGAUUGGAGGUGAGUAAAUCUCACUUGGUUCAUAAUGGAACCGUAUUUGCCUUAUAGUUCAUUUAUCGUAAAAUUGUGAAAUCGUUUUCUUGGAAAUGAAGUUUUGUUUUAAAACAUAUGGACUUGAUCGACUACGGUCCAUGGGUAAGUAAAACAUGGUUUUUGAUAUGAAAAUGAUUUUUAAAGGGUUUUGCGAAUAUGGACUAUAAUUGGUAUUAGAGGUUAUUCAAAGCGUAUGUCUCUAGAUGUGAAUAACUAUUCUAUAUAUGUUGAAAUAUAUAUCAUUUUGGAAGAGUAAUUGUUGUGAUGACUAAGUUGAGCUAUUUGUGACUCAUUAGAUGUUCUAAGUCAAAGAACUUAUGCUUGAAUGGUGGAAUUGUGUCUUAAUGGUGAUUGUUUGCAUUAGUUGUGGUUGUAUGCCUUAGUGGUGAAUUGUGUGCAUUAGUUGUGGUUGUGUGCCUUAGUGGUGAUUAAAAGCCUUAGUGGUGGUGACAAUAAACCGAGAACCAAGCCUUGGCUGAGUGAUUGAUUACGGUCAGUUUAGAACUCUAAUUUGUCUGUCUAUACUUCAUGGGGGAUGACUAAGUGUUGAGGAACUCAUGAGUAUGUGUUUGUCUGUCGGUACUUCAUAAGGGAUGACUAAGUGUUGACGAACCCAUGAGUACAUGUUUGUCUAAUUACUUAUGAGGGAUGACUAAGUGUUGUCGAACUCAUAAGUAAUGGUGGAGAAAUGAUUGUGUGAUGUUUUUACGUGUUGUCAUUUAAAUUCCUUACUUUGAGUAUCUCCUAAACUAUGCUUUUUCGCAGUAGAUUUUUUAAUCUUAAUUGUGUGAUUUUAGUGGAAUUCCUGAACUACACUUUUUGCAAGAUUCAUUUAUGAUUUGAUUGAUUUUGAAUUGUCAUGUUUUCUUCUUUACUUUCUUUUGAAUUCUCUUGUUUUAGAUGCUUUCCUGAACUAAGUUUUUAAUGCAUGAAUUACCGGUUACCUUAUGUGAUUUUGGGUUGAAUCCUUUAAUGUAUAUUUACUCAUACGAGCUUUUAAAACUUACUGAGUUCAUUUUUACAACCCGGUGCACCAAUCCAUGGUGUAUGGUUUGAUAUUACAGGUGAGGAUUUUCAAGAUUGAGACGUAAAGGUUUAGAAUAGGAGUUGAAUAUUUUUUUAUUAUUGAAUUGUCUAUUUGUAGUAAGCUCUUUAGAGCGUGACAUUUAUUUGACGGUCUAAUUUCGGUUUUGUUUUUUUCUAGAUAGAUGUAGAUGUUACAGGAAUUAUGAAUUUUUUUUUGGGUUAUCAUGUGAAUUUGAAUUUUUAUUUAUCCAAAAUUCGGGGUGUGACAGUAGUGGUUGCAAAGAGGGAAGCCAGACUUAGCUAAUAUCAAGGCAGAGUUCCAAAUUGCAACUCCUACUCAUGUUGUUGGUUAAUUGAAGAUCGGUGAGAAAUUGAGCACACAAACCCAGCAUUAUAUAUGUGCUGGUGCCUAGGAAGUAUCAGGGUCCGUCAACUUGUCUAGUGUCUAGAACCGAAUGUUAAUAUGCAUCUUCGUGCUAUAGUCAAUUGCAAUAGCUUUACUAAUUACCACCUGGUCUUGUAGUUUGAAAGGUCUCUAAUAUACUUUCUCAGAUUAAAUUUCCAGAAUUUCAAAGAAACUUCUCGUAUGUGUUUUGCUGGAUGUGUUUUGUUGAGUCCUUAAAGUAAGGGUAUAGGUAUUAUUGAAAAUUGAAUGAUUUAUUAGGUGUGAAAAGUAUGUUGUGUCUACUUGGAUAUUUAUUAGGUACAUUUAACAACACCCAUGAUUUAAUUAAGAUCGGUCGCACAUAGUUGAAGUUGUGUUUAUGACUAUCACAAAUUCACAAUUGUAAUAGCUAUGUUGCAACUGUACAAAAUAGCUACUGUGUGUUUAGCACUUUGAUUUAAUUAAGGUUGUUCUAGCUGUGUUUAAUAUUUCGAUUUUCUCAUGGACUAAUGUGUGUUUGUGAUUUGUGUUUAGUACAAAAUAGCUACUGUGUGUUUCCUUAUAGAAAUCUGUAUAUUGCAACUGUGAUGCUAUAACAACUGUACAAGCUAAAAUUUCUCGCACCGUCGAGUUUCAUUGAAUUUUUUUGGAGUGUUACAAUUAGCCAAUGUGACAUUUUAAUCCUAGCUCCGCGGUCAUAUCAUAUUACACUUUUUUAUUUUUGUUGUAUAAAUCUUUGUGUAUUAGUAAUCACAGAAAGAUUUCAUCUGCUUAAAUAAAGCGAAAAGAGGAGUGUGGGUUUAGAGACCGAAGCAGAAAAGAGGAGUGUAGGUUUGCCGUUUGCCUGUGAUUAGGAGUUGGAACGAGUCGUGACGCUUUAGGAGAGAGAGAGAGUGAAGCUGGGGAAAUGCCAAAUGACAUAAACAGAGACGGAUUUGGACCCUUUCGAGUUUCAGACUCUGCAUCUUCGUGCUUAUAUAGAAUAUCCCCCAGGCAUGUAUAAUAUCAUGGUAGUGAAUUUCCCAAACUAGCCAAUGCCAACAUGCACCAUGUGGUCAGAUUAUCGAGGAGUAGAACGUAAUUUAGAGCAGAUUCAGUCAUUCAGUAUUUGAUCAAUAAGUCUGUUAGGCUUUUCUUGUAGAACAACCCUAAAUUUGCAGAUCACCAUCAUAUCAUGUGUCAAUAAAGAAAAAACGUCACGGGAUCAUGAUCUGAAUUAUUUCUGUUAUAAAGGUUCACGACCUUUUCCUUUGUGGCUAAAUAAAGGAUCACGACCUUGCUUGUUCAAGAAAGAAAAGAAAUAAAGGAUGAUGACCUUUAAGAGGUUGAAGAGGUAGACAAACUUCAUACCUGAUCUCGCAGAGAGUGACCAAGGUUAUCAAGACUGAACACCUGCCAUGAAAAUUGUAACAUAUCUACGAGAAGUUUGUUAUUUCGUAUGUCAUCAUUACUUGAUAUUUGUAUUGAGUAAUCAUGUGUUAUGUUUUAUAUUUUGAAAUACUAAAUUUUAUGCUCAUACGAUAUUUAUUUAUUACAAAGACUAUAUUGACACACGACUGAAGUUUAGUUUGUAUAUCAUUUUUCAUGUUAUUAAGAUUAGACAAUGAAACAAUAUAUGGAUCAUCAUUUUGAGAAUUGGACAUUCAAGAAAAAUGGGGAAAUGAGAGAAUAUGUAGACUCGCAUCUUCGACCAUAAUUCAUCAACUAGUAAUUAAGGUCUACAUACUUAGAGUGAUCGAAGAAAAUGAACUGGUUUGCGAGAUGUAUAAUUUAUGUAAGCAUAUGGUAAGUGUAUAUGCAAAUAACUACUUACAUUUUCUGAACUUAAACUAAGUUUGAGAGUAAAUCACUUAAAACACAUAAUUUGUUCCCGACAAAAUACCAAUAUUCAUAACUAGAC